GAGAGAGUAGCGAUUCAAUACAUGCAAGUCGAGCGAAUGGAUUAAGAGCUUGCUCUUAUGAAGUUAGCGGCCCCCGGGUGAGUAACACGUGGGUAACCUGCCCAUAAGACUGGGAUAACUCCGGGAAACCGGGGCUAAUACCGGAUAACAUUUUGAACCGCAUGGUUCGAAAUUGAAAGGCGGCUUCGGCUGUCACUUAUGGAUGGACCCGCGUCGCAUUAGCUAGUUGGUGAGGUAACGGCUCACCAAGGCAACGAUGCGUAGCCGACCUGAGAGGGUGAUCGGCCACACUGGGACUGAGACACGGCCCAGACUCCUACGGGAGGCAGCAGUAGGGAAUCUUCCGCAAUGGACGAAAGUCUGACGGAGCAACGCCGCGUGAGUGAUGAAGGCUUUCGGGUCGUAAAACUCUGUUGUUAGGGAAGAACAAGUGCUAGUUGAAUAAGCUGGCACCUUGACGGUACCUAACCAGAAAGCCACGGCUAACUACGUGCCAGCAGCCGCGGUAAUACGUAGGUGGCAAGCGUUAUCCGGAAUUAUUGGGCGUAAAGCGCGCGCAGGUGGUUUCUUAAGUCUGAUGUGAAAGCCCACGGCUCAACCGUGGAGGGUCAUUGGAAACUGGGAGACUUGAGUGCAGAAGAGGAAAGUGGAAUUCCAUGUGUAGCGGUGAAAUGCGUAGAGAUAUGGAGGAACACCAGUGGCGAAGGCGACUUUCUGGUCUGUAACUGACACUGAGGCG
rnacentral:rRNA from 1 species